GCGGCCGGGGCGCGUGCACGCUGCGGGGCUCCGAAACUGGGGGGCGUGUCCGGGGCCCCGAGAAGGGGGUGGAGGCUGGGGCCGGGAAGCCUCCCUUGGCUGCGGUCCCGACCCGGGAACAGGCGGCAUGCACUCGGGAUCAGCGGCUACUGCGGAAACCCACCCGCACCUGUCUUGAGUCCUCCCGGGAGGAGAGGUUCCCCAAAGCGAGACUUCCCUAGGACUGCCAUCUAAUGAAUAAAUGCUGCGGAGACCAGGUCCUCAAAGAGGGAAACAGCCCAGCAAUGGCAGGAGAGAGGAAUUUGAAAUACGUGGACUUUUACAAACAGUAAUUGGACCAUGUGUCGCCCUUAAUGUGGUCCGAUUUCAUGACUCAGGCUAAUUGAUGUCAAUAAUAAAUUUUUUUAGGAUGGCUAA